CGGGACGGGUGAGUAACGCGUGGAUAACCUGCCUCACACUGGGGGAUAACAGUUAGAAAUGACUGCUAAUACCGCAUAAGCGCACAGUACCGCAUGGUACAGUGUGAAAAACUCCGGUGGUGUGAGAUGGAUCCGCGUCUGAUUAGCCAGUUGGCGGGGUAACGGCCCACCAAAGCGACGAUCAGUAGCCGACCUGAGAGGGUGACCGGCCACAUUGGGACUGGGACACGGCCCAA
rnacentral:rRNA from 1 species